AUUUGUUUCUUCUCUUGGCUAUUUGCUUGUGUAUCCUCCUAAAUCUUAGUUUUUGAUCAUGCUUCAGUAGUGGUGAUCACAUAUCUAGCCUCUUAAUUAAUGUGAUAAAGUUUGACCAUUCUUGAAAAUUUCCCUGCAUAUAGUUAUCAAUAUAAUUGAGAAAUCUUCUGUAAUUUGAGCACAUCAUGUGCUUGAAAGUUUCCGAGAAUUGACAGGGCAAGAGAUUUUCACCUAUUUUCUACAAUGUAGUGUACUUGCAUUCCUCUUAUGUCUUUUGCCAUGGAGUUUGACUUCCUGGUUCCUUUCGUGUAGGGUCUGAAUAUGUUUGGGUUGCAUUGUGCAAAAGGUCAGACCCACAGCAGUCACUGCCAUUUAGGACCUCGUCGACAUUGACGAACUCAUAGCUGCAAGAAGGACUGCAGUGGAUGCGUGACCGCCUGUCCUAGAAGUUCCAAGUGAUGUCGAGGCGUUGCCAUCCUGCUGCUAAGCUCUGGACGACUAGGACUUCAUCCAACAACACCGGUAUCACCGUCAAGUCCGGCGGGGUUGACGUAAUCUCCAGCCCUAGUGAUUUGGGGUAUGGUGGCGCCGCCGUGAAAAGGAGGUCGGCAUUCUGCUAGCCUCCUUUGACGACAAAGACAAGCUCUUUCUGAUGAUCGACCCCCCUGCCGCGGCAUGGCAGUGAC